GAAAUAUAAUUUCCAAGGUUCAAGUUCUACAAAGGCUUGGGGCGUUUUGACCAUAGCAUGAUCAACGAUAAAAUAUGCAACUACUUGCCCUUUCAUAGCUUUCAAAGGCAUGUAGGUCAAAGAAUACUCAGUUAAAGCAAGUGCCCAUUUACCAAUUCUACUAUGUAAGAUUGUCUUAGAAAACAUAUGUUUUAUCAUGUCAAAAUGUGACGAAACAUACACAUCAACCAACUUUAUAUAGUGCUUU
rnacentral:lncRNA from 1 species